UACGUAUGGGGCGAGCGUUAUCCGGAUUCAUUGGGCGUAAAGCGCGCGUAGGCGGCCUUGCAAGCGGGACCUCCAACCCCGGGGCUCAACCCCGGGCCGGGUCCCGAACUGCAGGGCUCGAGUUCGGUAGGGGGAGGCGGAAUUCCCGGUGUAGCGGUGAAAUGCGCAGAUAUCGGGAAGAACACCGAUGGCGAAGGCAGCCUCCUGGGCCGGCACUGACGCUGAGGCGCGAAAGCCGGGGGAGCGAACAGG
rnacentral:rRNA from 1 species